rnacentral:rRNA from 1 species
AUUGAACGCUGGCGGCAUGCCUUACACAUGCAAGUCGAACGGCAGCACGGGUGCUUGCACCUGGUGGCGAGUGGCGAACGGGUGAGUAAUACAUCGGAACGUACCUUAUCGUGGGGGAUAACGCAGCGACAGUUGCGCUAAUACCGCAUACGCCCUGCAGGGGAAAGCGGGGGACAGUAAGGCCUCGCGCGAGUAGACCGGCCGAUGUCUGAUUAGCUUGUUGGUGAGGUAAAAGCUCACCAAGGCGAUGAUCAGUAGCUGGUCUGCGAGGACGAUCAGCCACACUGGGACUGAGACACGGCCCAGACUCGUACGGGAGGGAGGAGUGGGGAAUUUUGGACAAGGGGGGCAACCCUGAUCCAGCAAUGCCGCGUGAGUGAAGAAGGCCUUCGGGUUGUAAAGCUCUUUUGUCAGAGAAGAAACAGCAGCUCUAACACGGUCUGCGAAUGACGGUACCUGAAGAAUAAGCACCGACUAACUACGUGCCAGCAGCCGCGGUAA